UGGGGAAUAUUGCACAAUGGGCGCAAGCCUGAUGCAGCCAUGCCGCGUGUGUGAAGAAGGCCUUCGGGUUGUAAAGCACUUUUGGCAGGAAAGAAACGUCGCGGGUUAAUACCCCGCGAAACUGACGGUACCUGCAGAAUAAGCACCGGCUAACUACGUGCCAGCAGCCGCGGUAAUACGUAGGGUGCAAGCGUUAAUCGGAAUUACUGGGCGUAAAGCGUGCGCAGGCGGUUCGGAAAGAAAGAUGUGAAAUCCCAGAGCUUAACUUUGGAACUGCAUUUUUAACUACCGGGCUAGAGUGUGUCAGAGGGAGGUGGAAUUCCGCGUGUAGCAGUGAAAUGCGUAGAUAUGCGGAGGAACACCGAUGGCGAAGGCAGCCUCCUGGGAUAACACUGACGCUCAUGCACGAAAGCGUGGGGAGCAAACAGGAUUAGAUACCCUGGUAGUCCACGCCCUAAACGAUGUCAACUAGCUGUUGGGGCCUUCGGGCCUUGGUAGCGCAGCUAACGCGUGAAGUUGACCGCCUGGGGAGUACGGUCGCAAGAUUAAAACUCAAAUGAAUUGACGGGGUCAUAGCUGUUUCCUG
rnacentral:rRNA from 1 species